rnacentral:rRNA from 1 species
AACGAACGCUGGCGGCAUGCCUAACACAUGCAAGUCGAACGAGACCUUCGGGUCUAGUGGCGCACGGGUGCGUAACGCGUGGGAACCUUCCCUUAGGUUCGGAAUAACUCCCCGAAAGGGGUGCUAAUACCGGACAAUUUCUUCGGACCAAUGAUUUAUCGCCUUUGGAUGGGCCCGCGUUGGAUUAGCUAGUUGGUAGGGUAAAAGCCUACCAAGGCGACGAUCCAUAGCUGGUCUGGGAGGAUGACCAGCCACACUGGGACUGAGACACGGCCCAGACUCCUUCGGGAGGCAGCAGUGGGGAAUAUUGGACAAUGGGCGAGAGCCUGAUCCAGCAAGGCCGCGUGAGUGAUGAAGGCCUUAGGGUUGUAAAGCUCUUUUACCCGGGAUGAUAAUGACAGUACCGGGAGAAUAAGCGCCGGCUAACUCCGUG